rnacentral:rRNA from 1 species
CUGAUGGAGCACGCCGCGUGAGCGAAGAAGGUUUUCGGAUCGUAAAGCUCUGUUGCGAGGGAAGAACAAGUACGGGAGUAACUGCCCGUACCUUGACGGUACCUCGUCAGAAAGCCACGGCUAACUACGUGCCAGCAGCCGCGGUAAUACGUAGGUGGCAAGCGUUGUCCGGAAUUAUUGGGCGUAAAGCGCGCGCAGGCGGUCCUUUAAGUCUGAUGUGAAAGCCCACGGCUCAACCGUGGAGGGUCAUUGGAAACUGGAGGACUUGAGUACAAAAAAGGAAAGCGGAAUUCCACGUGUAGCGGUGAAAUGCGUAAAGAUGUGGAGGAACACCAGUGGCGAAGGCGGCUUUCUGGUCUGUAACUGACGCUGAGGCGCGAAAGCGUGGGGAGCAAACAGGAUUAAAUACCCUGGUAGUCCACGCCGUAAACAAUGAGUGCUAAGUGUUAGGGGGUUUCCGCCCCUUAGUGCUGCAGCUAACGCAUUAAGCACUCCGCCUGGGGAGUACGGCCGCAAGGCUGAAACU